rnacentral:rRNA from 1 species
GAUGAACGCUAGCGGCAGGCCUAAUACAUGCAAGUCGAGGGGUAGAGAAGAGCUUGCUUUUCUUGAGACCGGCGCACGGGUGCGUAACGCGUAUGCAACCUACCUUUAUCAGGGGGAUAGCCUCUCGAAAGAGAGAUUAACACCGCAUAAAAACACAGUACGGCAUCGUACAAUGUUCAAAUAUUUAUAGGAUAAAGAUGGGCAUGCGUGACAUUAGCUAGUUGGUGAGGUAAGGGCUCACCAAGGCGACGAUGUCUAGGGGAUCUGAGAGGAUGAACCCCCACACUGGUACUGAGACACGGACCAGACUCCUACGGGAGGCAGCAGUAAGGAAUAUUGGUCAAUGGGGGCAACCCUGAACCAGCCAUGCCGCGUGCAGGAAGACGGCCCUACGGGUUGUAAACUGCUUUUAUACGGGAAUAAACCCCUUUACGUGUAAAGGGUUGAAUGUACUGUAAGAAUAAGGAUCGGCUAACUCCGUGCCAGCCGCCGCCGUAAAAC